UACGAGGGGUGCAAGCGUUGCUCGGAAUUAUUGGGCGUAAAGGGUAGGUAGGUGGUCUCAUUUGUCUGGGGUGAAGCCUUGAGCUUAACUCAAGAAGUGCCCCGGAAACGGUGAGACUGGAGUCCCGGAGAGGGUCGUGGAAUUCCCGGUGUAGCGGUGAAAUGCGUAGAGAUCCGGAAGAACACCGGUGGCGAAGGCGGUCUGCUGGGCAGUUGCUGACACUGAGGCGCGACAGCGUGGGGAGCAAACAGG
rnacentral:rRNA from 1 species